rnacentral:rRNA from 1 species
GAUGAACGCUAGCGGCAGGCCUAACACAUGCAAGUCGAGGGGCAUCGCGGUGCAGCAAUGCACUGGCGGCGACCGGCGUACGGGUGCGUAACGCGUAUGCAACCUGCCCCGCACCGGGGGAUAGCCCGCCGAAAGGCGGAUUAAUACCCCAUGGCCCCGGGGGCCCGCAUGGGCAUCCGGGUAAAGCUUUGGCGGUGCGGGAUGGGCAUGCGUGCCAUUAGCUGGCUGGUGGGGUAACGGCCCACCAGGGCAACGAUGGCUAGGGGGUCUGAGAGGAUGGUCCCCCACACUGGUACUGAGACACGGACCAGACUCCUACGGGAGGCAGCAGUGAGGAAUAUUGGUCAAUGGGCGGAAGCCUGAACCAGCCAUGCCGCGUGCGGGAUGAAGGCCCUACGGGUUGUAAACCGCUUUUCCCCGGGAAGAAUAACCCCGAUGAGUCGGGGGAUGCCGGUACCGGGGAAUAAGGAUCGGCUAACUCCGUG